UGCUCUUUGCUUGCGCAACAACUGUCGAGCCCUCAUCCGUUUCAUUUUUCCCCCAAGAUCGAGUUUGCUCUUCUUGGUCACGACCCUUGGUUCCUGUGUUGCCUUCCCGUUGUAUGGAAUAAUUCGUGAGUCAGCCCCGCACCUGUCCUCAUUGUGGCUUUGCGGCUCCGAUGCGGACCUCGAAAGCAGUCCCUGCGUCUCGGGCAUGUCCUCUGACUUUUGUCGUGGGUGUCUCGGUCCACAGGACAACUGCUCGUUCUCCCGGAUGUGGAAAAUUAAAAGGACGUGGGGGGUCUCGGCCUCCGGCUGCUCCNNUCUAGUCCCUCGAUAAGAAUGACACUCGCUGCCCC
rnacentral:misc_RNA from 1 species